rfam:Salmo salar isolate Sally breed double haploid chromosome ssa07, whole genome shotgun sequence.
AAUGCACCAAUUUGUAAGUCGCUCUGGAUAAGAGCGUCUGCUAAGUGACGUAAA